AUUGAACGCUGGCGGCAUGCUUUACACAUGCAAGUCGAACGGCAGCACGGGCUUCGGCCUGGUGGCGAGUGGCGAACGGGUGAGUAAUGCAUCGGAACGUGCCCAUUUGUGGGGGAUAACUACGCGAAAGCGUGGCUAAUACCGCAUACGCCCUGAGGGGGAAAGCGGGGGAUUCUUCGGAACCUCGCGCAAUUGGAGCGGCCGAUGUCAGAUUAGCUUGUUGGUGAGGUAAAGGCUCACCAAGGCGACGAUCUGUAGCGGGUCUGAGAGGAUGAUCCGCCACACUGGAACUGAGACACGGUCCAGACUCCUACGGGAGGCAGCAGUGGGGAAUUUUGGACAAUGGGGGAAACCCUGAUCCAGCCAUGCCGCGUGCAGGAUGAAGGCCUUCGGUUGUAAACUGCUUUUGUACGGUAACGAAAAGGUACCUUUCUAAUUAAAGAAGGGCUCAUGACGGUACCGUAAGAAUAAGCAACCGGCUAACUACGUGCCAGCAGCCGCGGUAAAG
rnacentral:rRNA from 1 species